AACUGAGACACGGUCCAAACUCCUACGGGAGGCAGCAGUGAGGAAUAUUGGUCAAUGGGCGAGAGCCUGAACCAGCCAAGUAGCGUGCAGGAUGACGGCCCUAUGGGUUGUAAACUGCUUUUGUAUGGGGAUAAAGUCAGUCACGUGUGAUUGUUUGCAGGUACCAUACGAAUAAGGACCGGCUAAUUCCGUGCCAGCAGCCGCGGUAAUACGGAAGGUCCGGGCGUUAUCCGGAUUUAUUGGGUUUAAAGGGAGCGUAGGCUGGAGAUUAAGUGUGUUGUGAAAUGUAGACGCUCAACGUCUGACUUGCAGCGCAUACUGGUUUCCUUGAGUACGCACAACGUUGGCGGAAUUCGUCGUGUAGCGGUGAAAUGCUUAGAUAUGACGAAGAACUCCGAUUGCGAAGGCAGCUGACGGGAGCGCAACUGACGCUGAAGCUCGAAGGUGCGGGUAUCGAACAGGAUUAGAUACCCUGGUAGUCCGCACAGUAAACGAUGGAUGCCCGCUGUUGGUACUUGGUAUCAGCGGCUAAGCGAAAGCAUUAAGCAUCCCACCUGGGGAGUACGCCGGCAACGGUGAAACUCAAAGGAAUUGACGGG
rnacentral:rRNA from 1 species